rnacentral:rRNA from 1 species
GGGAAUCUGCCUUUGAGCGGGGGACAACAUUUGGAAACGAAUGCUAAUACCGCAUAACAACUUUAAACAUAAGUUUUAAGUUUGAAAGAUGCAAUUGCAUCACUCAAAGAUGAUCCCGCGUUGUAUUAGCUAGUUGGUGAGGUAAAGGCUCACCAAGGCGAUGAUACAUAGCCGACCUGAGAGGGUGAUCGGCCACAUUGGGACUGAGACACGGCCCAAACUCAUACGGGAGGCAGCAGUAGGGAAUCUUCGGCAAUGGACGAAAGUCUGACCGAGCAACGCCGCGUGAGUGAAGAAGGUUUUCGGAUCGUAAAACUCUGUUGGUAGAGAAGAACGUUGGUGAGAGUGGAAAGCUCAUCAAGUGACGGUAACUACCCAGAAAGGGACGGCUAACUACGUGCCAGCAGCCGCGGUAAUACGUAGGUCCCGAGCGUUGUCCGGAUUUAUUGGGCGUAAAGCGAGCGCAGGUGGUUUAUUAAGUCUGGUGUAAAAGGCAGUGGCUCAACCAUUGUAUGCAUUGGAAACUGGUAGACUUGAGUGCAGGAGAGGAGAGUGGAAUUCCAUGUGUAGCGGUGAAAUGCGUAGAUAUAUGGAGGAACACCGGUGGCGAAAGCGGCUCUCUGGCCUGUAACUGACACUGAGGCUCGAAAGCGUGGGGAGCAAACAGGAUUAGAUACCCUGAUAGUCCACGCCGUAAACGAUGAGUGCUAGAUGUAGGGAGCUAUAAGUUCUCUGUAUCGCAGCUAACGCAAUAAGCACUCCGCCUGGGGAGUACGACCGCAAGGUUGAAACUCAAAGGAAUUGACGGGGGCCCGCACAAGCGGUGGAGCAUGUGGUUUAAUUCGAAGCAACGCGAAGAACCUUACCAGGUCUUGACAUACUCGUGCUAUUCCUAGAGAUAGGAAGUUCCUUCGGGACACGGGAUACAGGUGGUGCAUGGUUGUCGUCAGCUCGUGUCGUGAGAUGUUGGGUUAAGUCCCGCAACGAGCGCAACCCCUAUUGUUAGUUGCCAUCAUUAAGUUGGGCACUCUAACGAGACUGCCGGUGAUAAACCGGAGGAAGGUGGGGAUGACGUCAAAUCAUCAUGCCCCUUAUGACCUGGGCUACACACGUGCUACAAUGGAUGGUACAACGAGUCGCGAGACAGUGAUGUUUAGCUAAUCUCUUAAAACCAUUCUCAGUUCGGAUUGUAGGCUGCAACUCGCCUACAUGAAGUCGGAAUCGCUAGUAAUCGCGGAUCAGCACGCCGCG